GGGACCGACAUUCCAGAGGUUUCGAGACCCAAGGACUUCAGGCCGCCUCUUCGGAGCGCGGCCCUUUUUUUGAGCCGC
rnacentral:sRNA from 2 species